AAUGUUAGUGCCGCCCUCGUGCGCGAUCCGGUUAACUCGCCCGCGGACACAGUCCAGCGUGACGUAGACCGCCGUGCCGUUCUGCACCGGGAACGAGGCCCUCAGCCCGAUGCUGGCCCACUCGCUCCCUUCGGGCAUCGCUCCGGCCACCUGCUGAGCCACAGGACCCGCCUGCCCGCCCGGACCGCCCGCCCGCUGCAAGGUGACCUUCACAACGUUGCAGGAGUGUAUCAGCUUCAGGUUGAGCGCCACGUUCGCCGUCCCUCUCUCGUGGAAGACAAAGUUCCUCCGGCUGCUGGGCUCCCCGGAGCGGGCCAGGCCCACCUGCGGCGCGUCGGCGCCGACCUGCUGGAAGGACAGCGGCUUGUUCCUGACCGCCCCGGAGGGGAGGCCCGUCCGGGACACGGUGGCGCUCAGCGCCGACGACACCGCCGAGGGAACCCAGAUGAGGCUCAGCACGCUGAUCCCGCUGCUGUCCCCGAAGUAGCGGAUGUUGCACUGCGACGGAGACGUGAUCUCAAAGCUGAGCGUGUCGCCGCCGCCCACUCUCACGGCGCCGGAGAGGGUGAUGGACGUGUCCCGGUAGUUGACGCCCGCCUUGAACGCCUGCGUCGCCUCCUGGCCGGUCCCGUUGCGGCUGACGUAGGCGAUCAGGGAGAAACCCUCUCGUACGCAGGUGUGGCCCAUGGAGUAAAGCGCCUGUUGCAGGACGAACUUCACCACGCCGCUCUCCGUGAAGCGCACGCCGCGGUUGUCGUGCGUCAGAGCGACCAUGUAAGGGUCGGACACCGAGGUCACGCGGAAGGUCGGGCGGUAGCUGGUCUGGUAGUGCGUCAGCAGGGACAUGUGGGCCGUCAUGGCCACGGCGCCGGUGUCGUGCGACAGCCACAGCAGGCUGACGGACGGGGCGGCGAUGUCGUACAGGUGGAGGUCCUUGCUCUGGUUGCAGUGUUGAUUCGGGCUCCUCAGCAGCAGAGUGAAGAUGUGGUCGGGCUCCACCUCGACGCCGCUGCUGACGCUGACGCCCUGGAAGUGUUUCCCGUCCGGCUGUUCGAUGCGAACGCCGCUGAGGUCGCGACCCCCCUCCUCCUCCUGGCUCCCGUUGAGCCUCAUGCCCACCUGAAGGAAGUUCCUGCAGCUGUGCUUUAUGGCAAAGUUGUGAUCCAACCACACGAGGCCGUGCUGCAGGAACGUCACCUGCCCGGCCUCGUUGGACAGCAGGUCGAUUUUCUCUUUGCCCCGGAUGUUGAGCUGAAGCCCGGGGAAGAUGUGGCCUCCGGAGGACCUGGCGGGCGGUACUCCCACGCUGGCCCCCCACGACUGAGAGAGUCGGAUCUGCGAAGGCCGGCCGCAGACGGCGUCGGUGACGGCCGCGCAGGGAGCCGAGACGGGCUCUCCGUCGCAGUCGCUGCAGGCCUGACACUCCUGCAGCUCCUGGUUGUAGAAGUAGUCGGGACCACAGAAGCCCGUCGCUGCUUCUCGCUCAGAAACCCCCAGACACCUGAACCCCCCUGUGCAGUUAAAGACGCUUUACACACUGCCUUUGUAUAA
ensembl:lncRNA